GGGGAUAUAGCUCAGUUGGUAGAGUGCUUGCCUCUCAUGCAAAAGGCCCUGGGUUCAAAUUCCCAGCACCA
rnacentral:tRNA from 1 species